UAACAGUAACAGGAACUGUCACUGUGACGACGGCUGGGCUGCACCUUUCUGUGAGCUCAAAGGUUAUGGAGGCAGCACUGACAGCGGACCCACCUGGAAUGAUAAAGACACGUCAGUCAGAGACGGCCUGCUGGUCUUCUUCUUCCUCGUCCUUCCUCUCCUCGCUCUGGGUGCUUUUGUUUUCCUGCGCAGGAACGAGCUGCUGCGACGAUUCGGGCUGAGCCGCAGGAAGAGGUCGCAGGGAUACAAGGCUGAUGACGGG